rnacentral:rRNA from 1 species
CACGUAGGGAGCAAGCGUUGUCCGGAUUUAUUGGGCGUAAAGAGCUCGUAGGUGGUUCGGUAAGUCAGGUGUGAAACCUCCAGGCUCAACCUGGAGACGCCACUUGAUACUGCUGUGACUGGAGUCCGGUAGGGGAGCGUGGAAUUCCUGGUGUAGCGGUGAAAUGCGCAGAUAUCAGGAGGAACACCAGCGGCGAAGGCGGCGCUCUGGGCCGAUACUGACGCUGAGGCGCGAAAGCGUGGGGAGCAAACAGG